rnacentral:siRNA from 1 species
UGCUAGAACAGUCCUUUCGUCU